CCCGAAUUUAUGAGAUAUAUUUUUUAAUGUUUUAUUAUGUAACAUAAUAAUUUAAAAUUAAAAAAUAGGGGUUAUAUGCUAUUCAAUCAUAAUAUAUCUGGUUGUUUAAGAUUUGAAUUUAAUUUAGGAUUAUUGUGUUAAUUUUUAUUUUUAUUAAAUUUGAUAUAAUAAUUUAAGAUUAUGGGGGAUUAGCUCUGUGAUUAAUUAUAUAAAGGUAAUUUUUGAUUAAUAUAUGUAGGCUUGAUAACAGCCAUCUAUAAGUUCGUUAUAGUUUAAAUUACAAAUCAAUUAAUUUAAUUUCUUUUAAAUUUUUAUUAAACAUUUUUAUUAAACAUUUAUUUUUAAGUUUUUUUGAUAAAAUUAGUAAUUUAUUUUUUUAAGUACAGUAAUUCGGCAAUUAUUUAUUUUCGCCUGUUUAACAAAAACAUGUCUUAUAGAAUUUAAUUUUAAGUCUGGCCUGCUCAAUGAUUUUAUUAAAUAGCCGCAGUAUUUUGACUGUGCAAAGGUAGCAUAAUCAUUUGUCUUUUAAUUGGAGGCUUGAAUGAAGGGUUGGACGAGGGAUAAACUUUCUUUACUUAAAAUUUUAUGAAAUUAAUUUUUCAGUUAAAAAGCUGAAAUUUUUUUGUGGGACGAGAAGACCCUAUAGAAUUUUAUUUAUAAAUUUAUAAUUUAAUUUUAAUUUUAUUUAUGUUAAUUAUAAAUUUAUAAAUUUGGUUGGGGUGACUGUGAAAAUUAUAAAACUUUUAUUAAAAAUAGUUUCAUUAAUUGAUGUUUUUAAGAUCCUAUAUUAUGGAUUAUAAGAUUAAAUUACCUUAGGGAUAACAGCGUAAUUCUUUUGGAGAGUUCUUAUUGAUGAAAGAGUUUGCGACCUCGAUGUUGGAUUAAAAUAAGGUUUUGGUGUAGAAGCUAAAAUACUAGGUCUGUUCGACCUUUAAAUUUUUACAUGAUCUGAGUUCAGACCGGCGUGAGCCAGGUUGGUUUCUAUCUAUAAUAUAAUUUAAUAUUUUAGUACGAAAGGACCAAAUAUU
rnacentral:rRNA from 1 species